AGAUAUCACGAAGAACUNCGAUUGCGAAGGCAGCUUGCUGGACUGUAACUGACGNUGAGNCACGAAAGCGUGGGGAUCAAACAGGAUUAGAUACCCUGGUAGNCCACGCCGUAAACGAUGAAUGCUAGCUGUUAGCGAUAUACUGUUAGCGGCACAGAGAAAUCGUUAAGCAUUCCACCUGGGGAGUACGCCGGCAACGGUGAAACUCAAAGGAAUUGACGGGGGCCCGCACAAGCGGAGGAACAUGUGGUUUAAUUCGAUGAUACGCGAGGAACCUUACCUGGGCUUAAAUUGCAGUGGAAUAACGUGGAAACAUGUUAGCCUUCGGGCCGCUGUGAAGGUGCUGCAUGGUUGUCGUCAGCUCGUGCCGUGAGGUGUCGGCUUAAGUGCCAUAACGAGCGCAACCCUCAUCGAUAGUUACUAACAGGUUAAGCUGAGGACUCUAUCGAGACUGCCGACGUAAGUCGUGAGGAAGGUGGGGAUGACGUCAAAUCAGCACGGCCCUUACGUCCAGGGCUACACACGUGUUACAAUGGGGGGUACAAAGGGCAGCUACCUGGCGACAGGAUGCUAAUCUCAAAAACCUCUCUCAGUUCGGAUUGGAGUCUGCAACCCGACUCCAUGAAGCUGGAUUCGCUAGUAAUCGCGCAUCAGCCACGGCGCAGUGAAUACGUUCCCGGGCCUUGUACACACCGCCCGUCAAGCCAUGGGAGCCGGGGGGACCUGAAGUAUGCAACCGUAAGGAGCGUCCUAGGGUAAAACUGGUGACUGGGGCU
rnacentral:rRNA from 1 species